UACGUAGGGUGCGAGCGUUGUCCGGAAUUAUUGGGCGUAAAGGGCUCGUAGGCGGUUUGUCGCGUCGGGAGUGAAAACCCAGGGCUUAACCCUGGGCUGGCUUCCGAUACGGGCAGACUAGAGGUAUGCAGGGGAGGACGGAAUUCCUGGUGUAGCGGUGAAAUGCGCAGAUAUCAGGAGGAACACCGGUGGCGAAGGCGGUUCUCUGGGCCGAUACUGACGCUGAGGAGCGAAAGCGUGGGGAGCAAACAGG
rnacentral:rRNA from 1 species